CCUGCAUCUGUUUAGCUCCCCAAGUUUGGUUGUUUUUAACUAAACUCUGUAUCCCUGGAUUAGUUUCCUUCAAUUAUGGACUUUCCCUGGUAAAACCCGGAUCUCCUUUGGUGUCCUUUCAGCCAAAGACCAAAGGCUGAAACAGCAAAAUUCCAAGCUGGAGGCUUUAAAACAGUAGUUUACAAACUAGCAGGGAAUGGCUGUAAGCCGGCAACCAAUCACGUUCCCCGUGUGCUGUAGGAAGACAGGAAUCCUGAACAUCAUCCUCCUGUGUGAUAAUGCUGCACACGAUAUUGUUUCAGCAUCUGUACUGCAAGGAUGCACAUGUGCAAGAAUGACAUUGCAAGAAGUGUGACAUGCAUUAAGAGUGUACUCUGUGGAAGGCGGGUCGGAUCGUCAGUGUGGGAGAAAUCCACG
ensembl:lncRNA